CCCCAGACUCCUACGGGAGGCAGCAGUGGGGAAUAUUGCACAAUGGGGGGAACCCUGAUGCAGCGACGCCGCGUGGGUGAAGGAGUAUUUCGGUAUGUAAAGCCCUAUCAGCAGGGAAGAACAAUGACGGUACCUGACCAAGAAGCACCGGCUAAAUACGUGCCAGCAGCCGCGGUAAUACGUAGGGGGCAAGCGUUAUCCGGAUUUACUGGGUGUAAAGGGGGCGCAGACGGCAGCGCAAGCCAGGAGUGAAAGCCCGGGGCCCAACCCCGGGACUGCUCUUGGAACUGCGCGGCUGGAGUGCAGGAGGGGCAGGCGGAAUUCCUGGUGUAGCGGUGAAAUGCGUAGAUAUCAGGAGGAACACCGGUGGCGAAGGCGGCCUGCUGGACUGCGACUGACGUUGAGGCCCGAAAGCGUGGGGAGCAAACAGGAUUAGAUACCCUCGUAUCA
rnacentral:rRNA from 1 species